rnacentral:rRNA from 1 species
GUUAGGCAUGCAAGUCGAGCGAGAAGCUUCCCGUCGGGGGGUGGACAGCGGCGAAAGGGAGAGUAACGCGUGGGUGACUACCCCCAGACCCGGGAUAGCUGCGGGAAACUGCAGGUAAUACCGGAUAACGUCUCCGGACCAAAGGUGAGAUUCCGUCUGGGGAUGGGCUCGCGUCCUAUUAGCUUGUUGGUGGGGUAACGGCCUACCAAGGCAAAGAUGGGUACCGGGUGUGAGAGCAUGGCCCGGCUCACUGGGACUGAGACACUGCCCAGACACCUACGGGUGGCUGCAGUCGAGAAUCUUCGGCAAUGAGCGCAAGCUUGACCGAGCGACGCCGCGUGCGGGUAGAAGGCCUUCGGGUUGUAAACCGCUGUCAGUUGGGAGGAAAUCACAUGGGGUACUCCCCAUGUGUUGACCUAUCUUCAGAGGAAGUACGGGCUAAGUUCGUG